GAUGAACGCUGGCGGCGUGCCUAAUACAUGCAAGUCGAGCGAACGCACGAGACGCUUUCUUUUCUGAUGUUAGCGGCGGGCGCGGGAGUAACACGUGGAUAACCUACCUAUAAGACUGGGAUAACUUCGUGAAACCGGUGCUAAUACCGGAUAAUCUUUUGAACCGCAUAGAUCGAGAGUGUAAGACGGUCUUGCUUUCGCUUAUCGAUGGUUCCGCGCUGCAUUAGCUAGUUGGUAAGGUAACGUCUUACCAAGGCAACGAUGCAUCGCCGACCUUGGAGGGUGAUAGGCCAAACUGGACCUGAGAAACGGCCCAAAUCCCACGGGGAGGAGGAAGUAGGGAAUCUUCCGAAAUGGGCGAAAGCCUGACGGAGCAACGCCGCGUGAGGGAGAAAGGUCUUCGGUUCUUAAAACUUUGUUAUGGGGGAAAAACAUAUGUGUAUGUAACCGUGCACCACUGGACGGUACCGAAGCAGAAGAACCCGGCUACCUCCGU
rnacentral:rRNA from 1 species